rnacentral:rRNA from 1 species
AGGAAUCCUGGAGAGAUUUGGGAGUGCUCGAAAGAGAGCCUGAACACAGGUGCUGCAUGGCUGUCGUCAGCUCGUGUCGUGAGAUGUUGGGUUAAGUCCCGCAACGAGCGCAACCCUUGUCAUUAAUUGCCAUCAUUCAGUUGGGCACUUUAAUGAGACUGCCGGUGACAAACCGGAGGAAGGUGGGGAUGACGUCAAGUCCUCAUGGCCCUUAUGGGUAGGGCUUCACACGUCAUACAAUGGUCGGUUCAGAGGGUUGCCAACCCGCGAGGGGGAGCCAAUCUCAGAAAGCCGAUCGUAGUCCGGAUCGCAGUCUGCAACUCGACUGCGUGAAGUCGGAAUCGCUAGUAAUCGCGGAUCAGCAUGUCGCGGUGAAUACGUUCCCGGGUCUUGUACACACCGCCCGUCACACCAUGGGAGCGGGUUCUGCCAGAAGUAGUUAGCCUAACCGCAAGGAGGGCGAUUACCACGGCAGGGUUCGUGACUGGGGUGAAGUCGUAACAAGGUAGCCGUAGGGGAACCUGCGGCUGUAUCACCUCCUUUCU